UGGGGAAUAUUGGACAAUGGGCGAAAGCCUGAUCCAGCCAUGCCGCGUGUGUGAAGAAGGUCUUCGGAUUGUAAAGCACUUUAAGUUGGGAGGAAGGGCAGUUACCUAAUACGUAUCUGUUUUGACGUUACCGACAGAAUAAGCACCGGCUAACUCUGUGCCAGCAGCCGCGGUAAUACAGAGGGUGCAAGCGUUAAUCGGAAUUACUGGGCGUAAAGCGCGCGUAGGUGGUUUGUUAAGUUGGAUGUGAAGUCCCCGGGCUCAACCUGGGAACUGCAUUCAAAACUGACAAGCUAGAGUAUGGUAGAGGGUGGUGGAAUUUCCUGUGUAGCGGUGAAAUGCGUAGAUAUAGGAAGGAACACCAGUGGCGAAGGCGACCACCUGGACUGAUACUGACACUGAGGUGCGAAAGCGUGGGGAGCAAACAGGAUUAGAUACCCCUGUAGUCCCUGAGCGGGCUGGCAAGGCGCAU
rnacentral:rRNA from 1 species